GGAUUCCUCCUUUUGGAGUGUUUAGGAAGACUCUGAUCCUUGGGAUAGCACAUUAACUCAAAGAACACCAAAGAGCAAAAAUAUUACUGGAGAAGGAUAAUCCCAACAAAUCUUCAAGGGCUCACCAUUCUUCUACCCCAUCAGUAGAUGCAGUACUGAGAUAAGGUCUUUCAAGAUAGGAGCUACUGAAGAUGAUACCUGAGAAAUGAAAACAAGAUGUGAAGGCACCUUGUGAAACCUCAUUAGCAGCUUCCUUAUGAGCUCCUGCUCUGCUGGUCUGGACCCAUAGAAAAGAGAUUUUCUUAUGAAUCACAACAACACAAAAACAACUCAGAAAAAUCCCCUUUCAUUUAUGGGGCUCGAUUUUCAUUAUUUCCCAUUGCAAAGGAAGCACAAGACUAAAACAUCUGGUCCUGUCAAUGGGCUUUCAGCCAAAGCUUCAACGUCUGCUGCUGAGCUGAAACAACAGCAGCCUAAUCUCUGUAUUGUCUUUAGCUUUUUCAAAUUCUCAUCUUUCUCAAUGAGACAGUGGAAAGAAAUCAUCCCUCAGUGUUUUAUUUCAGGCGUAGCACAUUAAGCUGCAACCACACACCAACAAAAGAUACUUUCCUUCCAAAAUCCUGCCACUUCCUAAAUGCAAUAAAGUUUCAGACUGUGGCAUUCAUUAGAGCUGAGCAACUCGUUU